rnacentral:lncRNA from 1 species
GGGAGUUACCCUCGGCUGGUGAAUGUAGGCAGGCCUGGCUGAGGGUGGUGAGACUGCGAGGGACAGGUGAGAGAUGAAGCUCAGAAGACAUCUUUGCAGAGAUGUGGAGAAGACAGGAGGAAGUCCUUCCUAAAAUAAACCUGACCUCCUAUUGCUGGUAUUUAUGCAGCUUUGACCAGGACCUGGUAACAGAUGUGGAUGGACUUGAACCACCAACUCAGCUUAGAAGGAAGCCAAGACUUAAAGUUUCCUAGAUCCCAGCUUCAAGGCUUUUUCUACCCCUGAAGGAUUGUAAGCUGC